rnacentral:rRNA from 1 species
GACGAACGCUGGCGGCGUGCUUAACACAUGCAAGUCGAACGGAAAGGCCCUGCUUUUGUGGGGUGCUCGAGUGGCGAACGGGUGAGUAACACGUGAGUAACCUUCCCUUUACUUUGGGAUAACUUCAGGAAACUGGGGCUAAUACCGGAUAGGAGCUCCUGCUGCAUGGUGGGGGUUGGAAAGUUUCGGCGGUUGGGGAUGGACUCGCGGCUUAUCAGCUUGUUGGUGGGGUAGUGGCUUACCAAGGCUUUGACGGGUAGCCGGCCUGAGAGGGUGACCAGCCACAUUGGGACUGAGAUACGGCCCAGACUCCUACGGGAGGCAGCAGUGGGGAAUAUUGCACAAUGGGCGGAAGCCUGAUGCAGCAACGCCGCGUGCGGGAUGACGGCCUUCGGGUUGUAAACCGCUUUCGCCUGUGACGAAGCGUGAGUGACGGUAAUGGGUAAAGAAGCACCGGCUAACUACGUG